rnacentral:rRNA from 1 species
UGUUUCGGCAAGGGGGUCAUCCCGACUUACCAACCCGAUGCAAACUGCGAAUACCGGAGAAUGUUAUCACGGGAGACACACGGCGGGUGCUAACGUCCGUCGUGAAGAGGGAAACAACCCAGACCGCCAGCUAAGGUCCCAAAGUCAUGGUUAAGUGGGAAACGAUGUGGGAAGGCCCAGACAGCCAGGAUGUUGGCUUAGAAGCAGCCAUCAUUUAAAGAAAGCGUAAUAGCUCACUGGUCGAGUCGGCCUGCGCGGAAGAUGUAACGGGGCUAAACCAUGCACCGAAGCUGCGGCAGCGACACUAUGUGUUGUUGGGUAGGGGAGCGUUCUGUAAGCCUGUGAAGGUGUGCUGUGAGGCAUGCUGGAGGUAUCAGAAGUGCGAAUGCUGACAUAAGUAACGAUAAAGCGGGUGAAAAGCCCGCUCGCCGGAAGACCAAGGGUUCCUGUCCAACGUUAAUCGGGGCAGGGUGAGUCGACCCCUAAGGCGAGGCCGAAAGGCGUAGUCGAUGGGAAACAGGUUAAUAUUCCUGUACUUGGUGUUACUGCGAAGGGGGGACGGAGAAGGCUAUGUUGGCCGGGCGACGGUUGUCCCGGUUUAAGCGUGUAGGCUGGUUUUCCAGGCAAAUCCGGAAAAUCAAGGCUGAGGCGUGAUGACGAGGCACUACGGUGCUGAAGCAACAAAUGCCCUGCUUCCAGGAAAAGCCUCUAAGCAUCAGGUAACAUCAAAUCGUACCCCAAACCGACACAGGUGGUCAGGUAGAGAAUACCAAGGCGCUUGAGAGAACUCGGGUGAAGGAACUAGGCAAAAUGGUGCCGUAACUUCGGGAGAAGGCACGCUGAUAUGUAGGUGAAGUCCCUCGCGGAUGGAGCUGAAAUCAGUCGAAGAUACCAGCUGGCUGCAACUGUUUAUUAAAAACACAGCACUGUGCAAACACGAAAGUGGACGUAUACGGUGUGACGCCUGCCCGGUGC